rnacentral:misc_RNA from 1 species
CUGAGUGAGGGCCCUCUUCCAAACCCAAACACCUGUGAACCUUUGGGAGGGCGGUUGUAGUGACCGCGCUCCCGUUUUAAACAACUCUGAUGUCUAUUUGAAUGUCAUUCGGGGCAGCCCCGAUUUAAACUGAAA